rnacentral:rRNA from 1 species
AUGCAGUCGAACGGCAGCACAGCCGGAGCAAUCCGGUGGGUGGCGAGUGGCGGACGGGUGAGGAAUACAUGGGAAUCUACCCUGUCGUGGGGGAUAACGUAGGGAAACUUACGCUAAUACCGCAUACGACCGAGAGGUGAAAGCGGCGGACCGCAGGGCGUCGCGCGAUUGGAUGAGCCCAUGUCGGAUUAGCUAGUUGGCGGGGUAAAGGCCCACCAAGGCGACGAUCCGUAGCUGGUCUGAGAGGAUGAUCAGCCACACUGGAACUGAGACACGGUCCAGACUCCUACGGGAGGCAGCAGUGGGGAAUAUUGGACAAUGGGCGCAAGCCUGAUCCAGCCAUGCCGCGUGGGUGAAGAAGGCCUUCGGGUUGUAAAGCCCUUUUGUCCGGAAAGAAAAGUCUUCGGUUAAUACCCGGGGAUGAUGACGGUACCGGAAGAAUAAGCACCGGCUAACUUCGUGCCAGCAGCCGCGGUAAUACGAAGGGUGCAAGCGUUACUCGGAAUUACUGGGCGUAAAGCGUGCGUAGGUGGUUUGUUAAGUCUGAUGUGAAAGCCCUGGGCUCAGCCUGGGAAUGGCAUUGGAUACUGGCGAGCUAGAGUGCGGUAAAGGGCAGUGGAUUUCCCGGUGUAGCAUUGAAAUGCGUAAAGAUCGGGAAGGAACAUCUGUGGGCGAAGGCGACUGCUUGGACCAGCACUGACCCUGGAGGCACGAAAGGCGUGGGGGACCAAACAGGAUUAGAUACCCUGGUA